rnacentral:rRNA from 1 species
ACGGGAGGCAGCAGUGGGGAAUAUUGGGCAAUGGAGGGAACUCUGACCCAGCAACGCCGCGUGAAUGAUGAAGGUCUUCGGAUUGUAAACCUCUGUCAACAGGGACGAAAAUGACGGUACCUGUGAAGGAAGCUCCGGCUAACUACGUGCCAGCAGCCGCGGUAAUACGUAGGGAGCAAGCGUUAUCCGGAAUUACUGGGUGUAAAGGGAGUGUAGGCGGGACUGUAAGUCAGAUGUGAAAUAUGCCGGCUCAACUGGCAGACUGCAUUUGAAACUGCGGUUCUUGAGUGAAGUAGAGGUAAGCGGAAUUCCUAGUGUAGCGGUGAAAUGCGUAGAUAUUAGGAGGAACAUCAGUGGCGAAGGCGGCUUACUGGGCUUUAACUGACGCUGAGGCUCGAAAGCGUGGGGAGCAAACAGGAUUAGAUACCCUGGUA